CAGUUCAGACUGCAGGCUGCAACUCGCCUGCACGAAGUCGGAAUUGCUAGUAAUCGUAGGUCAGCAUACUACGGUGAAUACGUUCCCGGGCCUUGUACACACCGCCCGUCACACCAUGAGAGUUGGAGAUACCCGAAGCCUAUGAGCUAACUUUUAGAGGCAGUAGUCGAAGGUAGAAUCAAUGAUUGGGGUGAAGUCGUAACAAGGUAUC
rnacentral:rRNA from 1 species